rnacentral:rRNA from 1 species
AACGCUAGCUACAGGCUUAACACAUGCAAGUCGCGGGGUAACAUCUGGUAGAGCUUGCUCUUCCAGGAUGACGACCGGCGCACGGGUGAGUAACGCGUAUCCAACCUGCCCACCACUUGGGAAUAACCUUGCGAAAGUAAGACUAAUGCCCAAUGACAUUGAGUGCGGACAUCUAAUCUCAAUUAAAGAUUUAUCGGUGAUGGAUGGGGAUGCGUCUGAUUAGCUUGUUGGCGGGGUAACGGCCCACCAAGGCGACGAUCAGUAGGGGUUCUGAGAGGAAGGUCCCCCACAUUGGAACUGAGACACGGUCCAAACUCCUACGGGAGGCAGCAGUGAGGAAUAUUGGUCAAUGGGCGAGAGCCUGAACCAGCCAAGUAGCGUGCAGGAUGACGGCCCUAUGGGUUGUAAACUGCUUUUAUAAGGGAAUAAAGUGAGCCUCGUGAGGCUUUUUGCAUGUACCUUAUGAAUAAGGACCGGCUAAUUCCGUGCCAGCAGCCGCGGUAAUACGGAAGGUCCGGGCGUUAUCCGGAUUUAUUGGGUUUAAAGGGAGCGUAGGCGGGGAGUCAAGUCAGUUGUGAAAAGCCGCGGCCCAACCGUGGUCGUGCAGUUGAAACUGGUUCUCUUGAGUGCGCACGAGGACGGUGGAAUUCGUGGUGUAGCGGUGAAAUGCUUAGAUAUCACGAAGAACUCCGAUUG